AACAACCACUUGAACUUCCUGCAGUACUUUGUUCCAGAUCCACCACUUGCUCUGAAAGGCAUCAAUCACACACCAGUUCUGAUGCUCCUUCUUAUAUGAUAACAUGGGAAUCACUGCCUAUGAAGGGACUGGCAUGUCUUGAAAAAACCCCCGAAACCCAGACAAGACUCUUACCCGGUGGUAUUACACACGUGAUUCAUCAGAGCCACAUCAAGAGCCUGGAUGGCCAGUUCAUCAGACGUGGAGGAAAAAGACGGUCAAGAACAUCACUUUCUUCUACUUGAAUAUAAACUGCAACUUCAGGACAGAGUCCUCG